UGGCCAUCUGUCCCUGCCACGCCAAUGUUUACGCAAUGUGGACAGCAGAGAGACAAGCCAGAGGAAGUGUCCCAAGCAUCCAUCUCAAAGCUCCAACACCGUAAACCAUAUAAACCACAGACCAAUGUCAUCUUCCAUCCAGAUGGUCUCCUACUCCUUAAAAAGGCUGGCUAGCCAUCUUUCCACUACCUUAGAGUGAAGGACACACCCAAGAGGCAGAACAUGUCUGGUAUGUGGUUGAGAUUGCUGUGGACUAUAUGGCUGGCCACCAGAUAAAAUCCAACACAACUGAAUUCCAACUGAUAGCUUUCAAACAGGAGGAUGGAGCAAGAGCUUGGCAAGCACAUCUUCCCAUUUCCAUGGAACAGGCUUAGCCACAGGCCUGAGCACUGGGAGCAAAUGGACAUUAUUCAUCACAUAGACCUGCUUUGGCUCCCUCGGGGUGGGUGGCUGGUCUCCACACUGGAAGCCAAGGGAUGAUGCAUCCAUUCCUUAAUUCAGCCGGAACAGCUGCAGAGUGAACACACUCGGGCUCAGACAAGCACAAGCUCCCUCAGGUCUGCCCCUCACUUCCUUUAAUCAAGCUCUUUCACGCUGGUGUUUC